GACGAACGCUGGCGGCGCGCUUAACACAUGCAAGUCGAACGGAAAGGCCUGCUAUCCCUUGUGGAUUGCGGGUACUCGAGUGGCGAACGGGUGAGUAACACGUGAGUGAUCUGCCCCCAACUUGGGUAUAAGCCUGGGAAACUGGGUCUAAUUCCCGAUAGGACUGCAGGGUGGUGCCUGUGGUGGAAAACGAUUUUCUAGUGGUUGGGGAUGAGCUCGCGGCCUAUCAGCUUGUUGGUGGGGUAAUGGCCUACCAAGGCGGCGACGGGUAGCCGGCCUGAGAGGGUGGACGGCCACAUUGGGACUGAGAUACGGCCCAGACUCCUACGGGAGGCAGCAGUGGGGAAUGUUGCACGAUGGGCGGAAGCCUGAUGCAGCGACGCCGCGUGGGGGAUGACGGCCUUCGGGUUGUAAACUCCUUUCGACCGCGAGGAAGCCACCUGGUUGGAAGGGUGGUGACGGUAGUGGUAGAAGAAGCACCGGCUAACUACGUG
rnacentral:rRNA from 1 species